rnacentral:lncRNA from 1 species
CGGGAUGAAGGCGAGAGGCGUACCGCCAGGCCCACUGCGUCGGCAGGAGAAGAAAACGACGACAAGGUUAGAAUGAUGGAGGGAGUACUAUAUAUCCCAUUUCCAUCCAUCAGUAGUCACUAGAAUCAUCAAAAAAACGUGUCGUUUAGGAUAAGAUUUUAUCAAACUUUAUAAACUUGCAAGCAUUAAUACUAUGAACCUUAAAAAAAAGGCUUACAGUUUGGAAUUUUGGUGAUCUGCAGGUGACGCUAUCUGGUCUGCUCAACUUCGUUGAUGGUCUCUGGUCGACAAGCGGGGAGGAGAGGAUCAUUGUCUUCACCACAAACUACAGGGAGCGGCUUGACCCAGCACUUCUGCGGCCUGGAAGGAUGGACAUGCACAUAAACAUGGGGUACUGCACCCCGGAGUCGUUCCGGAUUCUGGCAAGGAACUACCACUCAGUUGAAAAUCAUGCCAUGUACCCAGAAAUUGAGCAACUUAUACAGGAGGUAAUGGUCUCACCUGCGGAGGUUGCUGAACUUCUAAUGAGGAACGACAACAGUGACAUCGUACUCAAGGAUCUCCUUGAGUUCCUCAAGGAGAAGAGGAAACGAUCUGGCCACAGCAAGGAUGCAAAUGAGAAUAGAGAUUAAUAUAUAUAUGAAGAAAUGUCACACAUCAAUACUCAGAGCAAACACAGGGAUAACAGAUAGUCACAAACCAACGAUGGCCUCAACCAAAUUUUGCGUAUGUAAAAGGUAGAAUCAGGAAGGAAAAAAAACAAAAUUAUGGUUAAGAUUAUUACUGUUGAUUCUCGAGUUUUUGACUUACGGAGAGCCUUUUUUUCGAGUCAUAUUUCUGUUAAGAUUUUUACAAUUUAUUAAGAUUCUUGACAUUACAAAGAGGAUUCAAUGCACAGUUCAGUCAGAGGUGGGUACAUGUUAUAAAGGUAUGUUCUGGCUUCCACAAAAAUGUCUAGCUCUUUGUGCUACUCACAUAAAAAUGUGCACUACAGUGCCAGUGCCAGGUACAUGAUGCUGAGUGCAUGUGAAAACUAAAAUCCGCCAUAUAUUUCGUGACAUACUUAGGCCCUGUUUUGGAACAAAGUUUUUGAAAACCACAGUUUUUGAAAUACUAUAGUAUACUUUAGUCAUGACAACACCGCAGUUUACAAUACCACAAUUUUGGAAACUGAGGUCCAGACCUAAGUUUAGAAUACCUUAAAACAACUAUAG